UUUGCGAAUAAAGUCUGAUAAACCGAAUUUCAAAGAAGAUAAGACAAUUUAAUUAUUGACUACAGUUGAAUUAUUUUUUCACUAUGUCGCGUAUAUAUUACCUUUUUUUGAUAAUUUGUAGUUUUGGUGUUCUUGCUCAAUGGCAUAACCAAGCCUGUCUGUUAAACUAUGGGGAUUACAUUCACGACAUCCUGCAGGAGACGUUGCAUGAACUGGAAAAUGACGUUAAGUUGUGCAACUUGAAAAUUAUUGACUUCAAUCAAACUAUAGACCAACAAAUGUAUUCAUGGUACUUAGGUGGAAUUGUUGUAUAUUCCAAUGGAUUUGUUAAUUCCAUUGAGAUGGUAAAUGUGCCUGCUGUUUCCAAUAUGUUCACCAGACGCGUCAAUGCCAACUACACGGAAUACUUCGCUGGUAUAUCAGCAACAUUGGACUUUGAUAACGUCAAACUUGGGAUGGAUGUCUCAACGAUUAUAGAGGGUAUUGGUGAAGGGCACUAUACCGGAGUGUUCAAUAUGAACCGGAUAAGGUUUACUCUCGGGAUCCAGAAGAACAUAAAUACGAACAUUACUACAGUAUCAAUUACCAACUCAGGUACAACAGCUACUUCUCAAAAAAUGCAAUAUCUACCAAAUACAAAUGUGACCCAAGUUCUGUCUCGGAUGUUUAAUCAUAAUUUGAUGUCAAACAGUUACUCGACGUGGGCUCACGAUAUAAUACUGCCUAUUGUAACUAGGAAUGUGGGAAAAUACGAAUUUCCUGAAAUACGCUUCGAUGGAUGCUAGAUCUUGAAGAAACUGAGUUCUGUGACCGUGAAAAAGCAUAAAAGUCAAAUAACGUAAUUAUUUUUGAUAAGACGUGUACUUAGAGUUACCUAGACGUGUUUAUCACAGCAAAACAAUGUAUUGACAAUUAAUAAUAUUAUAUGAUGAAUAUGU